ensembl:lncRNA
UCUUGGUGGCUCUCAAUGGCUCCCAGUAGCUCGAAGUGGCCCCUCUUAGCUCUUGGUGGCUCCCAAUGGCUCCCAAUGGCUCCCAGUAGCUCCCAGUAUCCCCUCUUAGCUCUUAGUGGCUCUUGGUGGCUCUCAAUGGCUCCCAAUGGCUCCCACUACCUCUGAGUGGCCGAGUGGGGGGUGGGAGAGCACCCUAACACUCCAUGCUUCCUGCAGCCAUCAUCCCAGCAUCUCACGUUGGGUUUGGGGGCACCUCUUGGGACCAGGUCUCAUCCUUCCCCCCCCCACCAUGGCCCCGUCCUGCUGCAGGGAGAGCAAUAACAGUUCCAGGCAGAACAUCAGUGCCUUUCUUUGAGUUUGGAAGUGAUUGCUUCUCGUUCCAGCUCGGGAAUCACUUUUGGAGUCACUUUUCAUCUCCAGAUACUCAGAAGCAAAGUGAAAGAGAGCCCAGAAGGAUCCCGUGCCAUCAUCAGAGUAAUUUUCAAGUACCCCGUUGUGGUUCCCAGUGCCUUAUUGCCACCCUGGAUCCAACAAGAGGUAUCGUGGUUCAUCUCACUCUUCUCCUCCUCUGCCUCCCUCCCCGGGACUCACUCACAGAAUCCCCCAUCUUGGGGGUGGUACCCCAUACCCUCGGGGUGCUCACAUCGUCCCCAUGUCCCCAAAGUGCUCACCCCAUCCCUAUGUCCCCAGAAUGCUCACAGCAUCACCCAUCCUGGGGUGCUCACACCAUCCCCAUGUCCCCAAGGUCCUCACACCAUCGCCCAUCUUGGGGUGCUCACACCAUCCCCAUGAUCCUGGGGUGCUCACAUCACCCCCAUGUCCCCGAAUGCUCACACCAUCCCCUAUCUUGGGGUGCUCACAUCAUCCCCAUGUCCCCAAGGUCCUCACACCAUCACCCAUCUCGGGGUCCUCACACCAUCCCCAUGAUCUUGGGGUGCUCACAUCACCCCCAUGUCCCCAGGAUGCUCACAGCAUCAUCCAUCUUGGGGUGCUCACACCAUCCCCAUGAUCUGGGGGUGCUCAUACCAUCACCAUUCUUGGGGUGCUCACACCAUUGCCCAUCUCGGGGUGCUCACACCAUCCCCAUGUUCUUGGGUUGCUCACACCAUCCCCAUGAUCUUGGGGUGCUCAUACCAUCACCAUUCUUGGGGUGCUCACAUUAUCCCCAUGUUCUUGGGGUGCUCACAUCACCCUCAUGUCCCCAGGAUGCUCACAGCAUCAUCCAUCUUGGGGUCCUCAAACCAUCCCCAUGUCCCCAAGGUCCUCAAACCAUCACCCAUCUCGGGGUGCUCACAUCACCCCCAUGUCCCCAAAUGCUCACACAAUCCCCCAUCUUGGGGUGCUCAUACCAUCCCCAUGUCCUUGGGGUGCUCAUACCAUCACCAUUCUUGGGGUGCUCACAUCACCCCCAUGUCCCCAAGGUGCUCACCCCAUCCUGCAUCUUGGGGUACUCACACCAUCACCCAUCUCGGGGUGCUCACACCAUCCCCAUGAUCUUGGGGUGCUCACACCACCCCAAUGUCCCCAGGAUGCUCACAGCGUCACCCAUCUUGGGGUGCUCACACCAUCCCCAUGAUCUUGGGGUGCUCACAUCACCCCCAUGUCCCCGAAUGCUCACACCAUCCCCUAUCUUGGGGUGCUCACACCAUCCCCAUGUCCCCAAGGCCCUCAAACCAUCCCCCAUCUUGGGGUGCUCACAUCACCCCCAUGUCCCCAAAUGGUCACACAAUCCCCCAUCUCGGGGUGCUCACCCCAUCCCCAUGUUCUUGGGGUGCUCACAUCAUCCCCAUGUCCUUGGGGUGCUCAUACCAUCACCAUUCUUGGGGUGCUUAACCAUCCCCAUGUUCUUGGGGUGCUCACAUCACCCCCAUGUCCCCAAGGUGCUCACCCCAUCCUGCAUCUUGGGGUACUCACACCAUCACCCAUCUCGGGGUGCUCACACCAUCCCCAUGUUCUUGGGGUGCUCACACCACCCCCAUGUCCCCGAAUGCUCACCCCAUCCCCCAUCUUGGGGUGCCCACCCCAUCCCCAUGCCCCCAUUGCCCCUCCCCGGAGAAUCCAGUGAUGCCUCGUCGUGUGCUCGAACAGAAGCAGUGUUUAAUAGGAAAUAUUUAAUUGCUAUUUAAUUUGUAAUUUAAAAACCUCAUUUGUCCAUACAGCCUGUAAAUAUUUCCCCCCCUCGAAUAUAAGUAUUCCUCAUCCGAAUCCUGAUUUUUGUAAUGAAAAGAUUAUUGUUGUUAUUGUUGCUAUUAUUGUUAUUGUUAUUAUUAUUAUUAAUUAGAGCAGAGGGAAAAUAAUGCUGGGAAGCUGCUGGAGUUUGGCAUCAGAGCCUGCUGUGAUGGGGCUGUGAUGGGAUGGAGCGCCACGAUGGGAUGGAAGUGGGAUGGAGAGGAGCUCUGCAGUGGGCUGAUGCUGUACUGGGAUGGAGCUCCGUACUGGGAUGGAACUGGGAUGGAGAGGGGCUGUGCUGGGGUGGGUAUCUGUGUUGGGACUGCACUCAUGAUGGGAUGGAGCUGUGCUGAGAUGGGACAGAAAUGGGAUGGGAUGGAGCUCCAUGGUGGGAUGGAAAUGGCAUGGAGAGGAGCUCUGUAGUGGGAGUUCUGCUGUGCUGGGAUGUGAUGGAGCCAUACUGGGAUGGGAUGGAUCCAUACUGGGAUGGGAUGGAGCCAUACUGGGACGGGAUGAAGCCAUACUGGCAUGGAUCCAUAUGGGGAUGUGAUGGAUCCAUACUGGGAUGUGAUGGACCCGUACUGGGAUGGGAUGGAGCCAUACUGGGAUGGGAUGGAUCCAUACUGGGAUGGGAUGGAUCCAUUCUGGGAUGGGAUGGAGCCAUAUGGGGAUGUGAUGGAGCCAUACUGGGAUGUGAUGGAUCCAUACUGGGAUGGGACGGAUCCCUACUGGGAUGGGAUGGAGCCAUACUGGGAUGGGACGGAUCCAUACUGGGAUUGGAAGGAGCCAUACUGGGACGGGAUGGAUCCACUCUGGGAUGGGAUGGAGCCAUACUGGGAUGGAUCCAUAUGGGGAUGUGAUGGAGCCAUACUGGGAUGUGAUGGAUCCAUACUGGGACGGGACGGAGCCAUACUGGGAUGUGAUGGAGCCAUACUGGGAUGG